rnacentral:tRNA from 1 species
UGGCUCAGUUUGGUAGAGCACCUGGUUCGGGAUCAGGGGGUCGGAGGUUCAAAUCCUC